rnacentral:rRNA from 1 species
UACGUAGGGGGCAAGCGUUGUCCGGAUUUAUUGGGCGUAAAGAGCGUGUAGGCGGCCAUUCAGGUCAGCUGUGAAAACUCGAGGCUCAACCUCGAGACGUCGGUUGAAACCGUUUGGCUAGAGUCCGGAAGAGGAGAGUGGAAUUCCCGGUGUAGCGGUGAAAUGCGCAGAUAUCGGGAAGAACACCCGUGGCGAAGGCGGCUCUCUGGGACGGUACUGACGCUGAGACGCGAAAGCCAGGGGAGCAAACGGG